rnacentral:rRNA from 1 species
AAACUAACAAGGAUUCCCCUAGUAACUGCGAGUGAAGCGGGAAGAGCUCAAAUUUGAAAUCUGGCGGUUUCACCGUCCGAGUUGUAAUCUGGAGAAGCAUUUUCCGCGUUGGACCGUGUACAAGUCUCUUGGAAUAGAGUGUCAUAGAGGGUGAGAAUCCCGUCCAUGCCACGGACUACCAAUGCUUUGUGAUAUGCUCUCAAAGAGUCGAGUUGUUUGGGAAUGCAGCUCAAAAUGGGUGGUAAAUUCCAUCUAAAGCUAAAUAUUGGCGAGAGACCGAUAGCGAACAAGUACCGUGAGGGAAAGAUGAAAAGCACUUUGGAAAGAGAGUUAAACAGUACGUGAAAUUGUUGAAAGGGAAACGCUUGAAGUCAGUCGCGUUGGCCGGGAUUCAGCCAUGCUAUUUGCCUGGUGUACUUCCUGGUUUUACGGGUCAACAUCAAUUUUGGUUGGUGGAUAAAGGCCGAGGGAAGGUGGCAUCUUCGGAUGUGUUAUAGCCCUUGGUUGCAUACACUGACUGGGAUUGAGGUCUGCAGCACGCCUUUUGGCCGGGGUUCGCCCACGUAACGUGCUUAGGAUGUUGGCAUAAUGGGCUUUAAGCGACCCGUCU